GACGAACGCUGGCGGCGUGCCUAAUACAUGCAAGUCGAGCGCAGGAAGCCGUCUGAACCCUUCGGGGGGACGACGGUGGAAUGAGCGGCGGACGGGUGAGUAACACGUAAAGAACCUGCCCAUAGGUCUGGGAUAACCACGAGAAAUCGGGGCUAAUACCGGAUGUGUCAUCGGACCGCAUGGUCCGCUGAUGAAAGGCGCUCCGGCGUCGCCCAUGGAUGGCUUUGCGGUGCAUUAGCUAGUUGGUGGGGUAACGGCCCACCAAGGCGACGGUGCAUAGCCGACCUGAGAGGGUGAUCGGCCACACUGGGACUGAGACACGGCCCAGACUCCUACGGGAGGCAGCAGUAGGGAAUCUUCCACAAUGGACGAAAGUCUGAUGGAGCAACGCCGCGUGAACGAUGAAGGCGUUCGGGUCGUAAAGUUCUGUUGUAAGGGAAGAACAAGUGCCGCAGGCAAUGGCGGCACCUUGACGGUACCUUGCGAGAAAGCCACGGCUAACUACGUGCCAGCCGCCGCCGUAA
rnacentral:rRNA from 1 species